UCAAUUUUGCUUAGGUUUUCUAAUCGUUGCCAUCUAUAUUGUGAUUUUGAUUUUCAAUUCUUGUUCUUCUUUUUUUUUGUCUCCUUCGCUGUUUUGGUUUUGAUUUUAGAUUCUUGUUAUAUUUAUUUUUCGUUAUUUUGAUUUUUUGUUCUUGUUUGGGGGUCAAAUUCUUGUACAUGUAAUUAGGUUUCCUCCAACAUGGUGGAUCGAAUCAGUGAAUUACCAGAUGUAAUUCUUGUGACUAUAGUG
rnacentral:lncRNA from 1 species